rnacentral:rRNA from 1 species
GACGAACGCUGGCGGCGUGCUUAACACAUGCAAGUCGAACGAAGAGCGAUGAAGCUUGCUUCUAUCAAUCUUAGUGGCGAACGGGUGAGUAACGCGUAAUCAACCUGCCCUUCAGAGGGGGACAACAGUUGGAAACGACUGCUAAUACCGCAUACGAUCUAAUCUCGGCAUCGAGGAUAGAUGAAAGGUGGCCUCUACAUGUAAGCUAUCACUGAAGGAGGGGAUUGCGUCUGAUUAGCUAGUUGGAGGGGUAACAGCCCACCAAGGCGAUGAUCAGUAGCCGGUCUGAGAGGAUGAACGGCCACAUUGGGACUGAGACACGGCCCAGACUCCUACGGGAGGCAGCAGUGGGGAAUCUUCCGCAAUGGACGAAAGUCUGACGGAGCAACGCCGCGUGAGUGAUGACGGCCUUCGGGUUGUAAAGCUCUGUUAAUCGGGACGAAAGGCCUUCUUGCGAAUAGUGAGAAGGAUUGACGGUACCGGAAUAGAAAGCCACGGCUAACUACGUG